UUUUAGCUUUCAAGGUUGACAAGUAUGCAAACGGCAGAAAUAUAUCAGACAGAAUCCAUUUUAGAGUGCAUUUCACGUCUAAUUAUCUGAAUUCUCAAUUAUUUUCUGCCUUUGCCGUUGUAAGGGAGCGACCAUUUUCAAUCUAAUGUGUGGGUAUCGAAAAUUUAAAAACUCCAGCAACCCAACUUGCCGGCAAAACAAAUCAAGCAGGACAGAAAACAAAACUUCACCAUCAGAUAUUAUCAUAUGGUCCCUUGUGUUUCAAUUUGACAAAAACGUGCUGUUAUAGAUUCUUUACGAUAUAUGCCUGGUCAUACAUUUGAAUAGACAAGAUUCAGUUGAACCAGGAACGUUUUUUAAUUGUUUUCUUUAUUGUUUUCACACUCUUGUGGUUCGUUUGAAUGGUGAAACGACGCAACCAAACAACGGAAUUCCCGCUAUUCCAGCUAUUUUCUUGUAAACCUGCAUUUGGAAGUAGCACAGCCUGCAAACUAAGGUGACGCUAAGUAUCUAUGUAACUAACAUACAUUAUCAGCGAACGGCGUUCUUUACGUUACCAAAAACAUGUCUAAUGGAAUUCUUAUGACCCAGAAUUGGUUGAAGAACAUUAUUUUUCAUUAAUCAACUAGUUUUGCUUUAGGUCAAACUCAACGCAUUAGAAAACUGUUUUUUAAUUGGAAUAAAAACUGGAGUAAAAAUUGAAACUUUGAUCAGUACUCUAUACAAACUAUACUAUCUGUUGUAAAUCUACAUCUAGGUGAUGUAAAAGAUGGAGAGCAUCCCGUAUAUAAUUGAUGUGAAUGUUGUUGCUAUCCAAAAGCGUUAAAUUAUCAUUACCUUUUUAAAAAUGUUCGCGGGAAAAUCUGAAUAUGAAAGCCCCACUUCAGUGCAAAUUUACGCGGGAGAUUCAAGACAAGAAAUGGAGAGACACUCACAGUCAAAGGUCAUCGAUAUUUGAGAUGUCGUUCCGCUUUUGCUUCUGGUUCUAGAAAAAUGCAAUGAGGGUCGUCCACGGAUUCGAGUAACACCAUCAGGUAGGCUGCACGUGUCAGAAACGACGAGGACCUGCUACUAAACAUCAACGAUGUAGACGUGAUUGCAGCGAAAGUAAAGUCCCACCGCGAAUGCCGGUCGACCUAUGUUGCAAAAAGAAAUCUGUCCUUCGCAGUGGAUGGAGCGGAUAUGUAUACCAUUGCUUUUACUAACCUUAUGGAUAAGAUUCUUCCUGAGAUACAAUCGGGCCGUGCUGUUGAUAUGAAAACCGUGUUACUAUCAUACCAAACGAGCUGGAAGGCCUAGGUUGCGACACAGCAAGAAGCUACAGAACAGAAAGGUUGAAGCGGAGGAUACAACAGACGUAUCCAUGUGAGGUUGUCUUUCACGCGCAAGCGGAUCCAACAAAGCCAGAAUUGCUUUACUCGAGAUCAAUCUCCUUAAAAGAUAUCUUCAACGCCGCAGCAAAGAGCAGUCAUUCCGAGGUAUCCCCUUAAACCAUCUCUCCAGAGCGCGAGAGCGAUAAAACACGACUUCUUUAUCAUGCUGCGCAGCAUCUGAGAAAGAGCAUUCUGAAUGAAAGUCAAGCCAUCCAACCCGUACAUGCAGAGGCCUCAGUGCCAGUAGCGUAAAGUCGCGUGUUGUUCCAAGUGAUCUAUAUGAUUUUUUGUGCUUUCUGAUAACAAGUUCCGAUAAUCUGGACAUCUCAACCCCAACAGCUAUCAGCUCCACCGACGAAAGACGGGUCUUAGCUAUCGCACAAGAUCUCGUGUAUUCCACCACUCAUGCUCGGAUAAAGCCCCCAAAGCACAUAGGUCUUGCAAUGUCUGUGCGUCAUUUGACCGGCUCAAAACAGCUGAUUAAAAUGCUUCACAGAUUCGGUCUUUGCUGCUCUCAAGAUGACGUGGAAGUCGCAGAUACAAGCUUAGCGCAAGAGGAACAGUCGAAGAGGAACAGUAGAAGAGGAACAGUCGAAGAGUCGAGGCUUUUUUUUGUUUUUUUGAUUAGCAUUGGUCUUUUUUUAUUAUUAUGAUAACUGUUUAUUGAUUCUCAAGUGAGGUGAGUAUUUUACAAGACUAAUGUUUUUUUUACAUGAUUACAGAAAUGUAUUAAAUUAAAUAAAUACAUUGUUCACUAUUA